rnacentral:rRNA from 1 species
AUUGAACGCUGGCGACAUGCCUUACACAUGCAAGUCGAACGGCAGCACGGGUUCUUGCACCUGGUGGCGAGUGGCGAACGGGUGAGUAAUACAUCGGAACACGUCCUGUAGUGGGGGAUAGCCCGGCGAAAGCCGGAUUAAUACCGCAUACGAUCUACGGAUGAAAGCGGGGGACCUUCGGGCCUCGCGCUAUAGGGUUGGCCGGUGGCUGAUUAGCUAGUUGGUGGGGUAAAGGCCUACCAAGGCGACGAUCAGUAGCUGGUCUGAGAGGACGACCAGCCACACUGGGACUGAGACACGGCCCAGACUCCUACGGGAGGCAGCAGUGGGGAAUUUUGGACAAAGGGCGAAAGCCUGAUCCAGCAAUGCCGCGUGUGUGAAGAAGGCCUUCGGGUUGUAAAGCCCUUUUGUCCGGAAAGAAAUCCUUGGCCCUAAUACGGUCGGGGGAUGACGGUACCGGAAGAAUAAGCACCGGCUAACUACGUG